UACGUAGGGUGCAAGCGUUAAUCGGAAUUACUGGGCGUAAAGCGUGCGCAGGCGGUUUGUAAGUCUGUCGUGAAAGCCCCGGGCUCAACCUGGGAAUUGCGAUGGAGACUGCAAGGCUUGAAUCUGGCAGAGGGGGGUAGAAUUCCACGUGUAGCAGGUGAAAUGCGUAGAGAUGUGGAGGAACACCGAUGGCGAAGGCAGCCCCCUGGGUCAAGAUUGACGCUCGAUGCACGAAAGCGUGGGGAACAAACAGG
rnacentral:rRNA from 1 species